rnacentral:rRNA from 1 species
GAACUGAGACACGGUCCAGACUCCUACGGGAGGCAGCAGUGGGGAAUUUUGGACAAUGGGGGAAACCCUGAUCCAGCCAUGCCGCGUGUGUGAUGAAGGUCUUCGGAUUGUAAAGCACUUUUGGUUGGAAAGAAGGGCGCGGGUUAAUACCUUGCUGAACUGACGGUACCUGCAGAAUAAGCACCGGCUAACUUCGUGCCAGCAGCCGCGGUAAUACGAAGGGUGCAAGCGUUAAUCGGAAUUACUGGGCGUAAAGC